rnacentral:rRNA from 1 species
GAGGCUUCGGCAAUGGGGGAAACCCUGACCGAGCGACGCCGCGUGGAGGAUGAAGGCCCUUGGGUCGUAAACUCCUUUCGUGGGGAAAGAAUGUGUCCGGGGUAAAUACUCCCGGGCAUUGACGGUACCCCAAGAAGAAGCCCCGGCUAACCCCGUGCCAGCAGCCGCGGUAAGACGGGGGGGGCAAGCGUUGUUCGGAAUCACUGGGCGUAAAGGGCGUGUAGGCGGUUCGGUAAGUGGGAUGUGAAAUGCCCCGGCUCACCCGGGGACCUGCAUCCCAAACUGCUGAGCUUGAGUACAGGAGAGGGUGGGGGAAUUCCAGGUGUAGCGGUGAAAUGCGUAGAUAUCUGGAGGAACACCGGUGGCGAAGGCGCCCACCUGGCCUGCUACUGACGCUGAGGCGCGAAAGCUAGGGGAGCAAACGGG